rnacentral:rRNA from 1 species
UACGUAGGGAGCAAGCGUUGUCCGGAAUCAUUGGGCGUAAAGAGCGCGUAGGCGGCCCUGUAAGUCCGUUCUGAAAGUCGGAGGCUCAACCUCCGAAAGCGGAUGGAUACUGCAGGGCUAGAGUCCGGAAGAGGCGAGUGGAAUUCCGUGGUGUAGCGGUGGAAUGCGCAGAUAUCAGGAGGAACACCAACGGCGAAGGCAGCUCGCUGGGACGGUACUGACGCUGAGGCGCGAAAGCGUGGGGAGCGAACAGG